GCUGAGGUUUGGAGGUGCGGCUUGAGCUCGCUCAGUGGCGCGCUGCCUAGUUCUCAGAGUAAGAGAAAAGACGAUUGUUCUGUUUAGCUUUUAGGGGCAACUCUCAGAGUUACCUUUAUUAAAAAAAAAAGAAAAAGGAAAAAAAAUCUGCCCUUGAACGAGAACGCUGGGUCUGUCUUCCGAGACACUUGGCAUCAAUAACGGAUAACUAAUCCUGGAGACUGAGGAAACAAAUAAUCAGCUCAAAAUGCUUACAGCCUUUCAAAGAUUUUCCAGGAUGCGGGUUUGGGAGAGAAAACCUAAGCACAGCCCAGCGAAUUGCCUGCGUUGACCGGUUGGAGCCGAAAGUUUGUGGGAGACCAAGGCAGGGGGAAGACACAAAGUGGGUGCUUACUCCUGAUCAUGGUGAAUGGUGGCUGUUUUGUCUGCAGUUUUACCACUUCUCUAGUGCUGCCACAAUCUGCUGAAUUCUCUUUUGUUCUCUGCAGCUCCCCGACACUCAAGAAACAGAAGAAGAUGACAAGAAGAAGAGAAAGAGGAGGAGGACAUUUGAUGACGAACAGAAACAUGCAGAUAACUAGCAUAUAUUGAAUACUCAACCUCAAUCAAGGUACUAUAUUAGGCAUUUUUACUCAUGCUAUCUUUAAUCUUCAUAUUACCACAAAUGGUGCAUAUUCUUAAUCAACAUUUUAUAGAAUUAAUUUCUCCAUGGCCAUUGUACUGAUGGCAGUGAACCCAAUAUUUGAAUCCAAAACUAAUAUUGAGGGGUCUAAAUUGGUAGUACUGGUUUAGAUGAAAUUUAUUAUAAUAAAUAUUUAUUUUAUAGUAAAUUAAAUAUUUAUUUUAUAGUUUGGUUACAUUUUAAAUGUAUAAAUUGUAUAAGGUGAAAGAUACUGUAAGGAAAAUGUUUAUGUGUAUUAAUGCAAUAUGCUUAAUUAAUAUAAAUAUAACAGGCAUUAAGUAAUAUUUAUCACAAUCAAAACGGUAUUGAGAAAAGCUGUCAAAAUACAGAGAACAAGGCUGCCUAUUACUAACGGAUGAGUGAGCCAAUGUACUUCAACUUGCAACAACUCAAGGAAAGGGCUAGGAGAUGAUUAAGAGCCUCUUGUGCACUGGAGAAAGCAUGUGAUCAAAAGGGACACUAAUGUGUCUAUAAAAGGAACUGUGGAGGACUUUCCUGUGGGUUACUUUUUAGGUACACUUCAAGAAUGUUUCUCAUUUAAGAAUAGUGUCAAUAAGUCAAGUGCUCAAUGAGCCCAAAUCCUACUGAUUGGAAUCACUGCAUAAAAAUAUC